rnacentral:rRNA from 1 species
UACGUAGGGGGCUAGCGUUGUCCGGAAUCAUUGGGCGUAAAGCGCGCGCAGGCGGCUCGGCAAGCAUGGCGUGAAAGCCCCCGGCUCAACCGGGGAGAGUCGUCGUGGACUGCCGGGCUUGAGGGCGGCAGGGGUUGGUGGAAUUCCCGGUGUAGUGGUGAAAUGCGUAGAGAUCGGGAGGAACACCCGUGGCGAAGGCGGCCAACUGGGCCGGCCCUGACGCUGAGGCGCGAAGGCGUGGGGAGCGAACGGG